AUUAGAUUAAGGGCCUUGAGAUGGGGAGGUUAUCUGGAUUAUCUGAGUGGUCCUAAUGUAACCACAAGUAACCUUAUAAAAGGGAUGCAGGAGGAGUCCACGUUAGGGAAGAAGGCAACGUAAAGACAGAAGGAAAAAAUGCAGUGAUGCGGGUAUGAGCCAAUGCAUGCCAAAGCAGCCUCUAGAACCUGGAAAGAGCAAGGAAUGGAUUCUUCCUUGGAGCCUCCAGAAGCAGUCAGUCCUAUCAACAUCUUGCUUUUAGCCCUGUAAGGCUGGUUUUAGAUUUCUGACCUCCAGAGCUGUAAGAGAAAAAAUUUGUGUUGUCUUUGGCCACUCAGUACAUGGUAAUUUUUCACAGCAACAAUAGAAAACCAUUACAAAUUUUAGUACCAAGAGUGGAGUGCUACUGUAACAAGUACUUACACAUGUGCAAGUGACUUUGGAAUUGGGUGUUAGGUAGAAUCUGUAAGAAUUUUGAGGCACAUGACAGAAAAGGCCUAGAUUGCCUUAAACAGACUGCUGAUACGAAUGUGGUUGUUCAGCAUUUUGGGCGGCUGAAGUGAAUGGAUCACUUGAGCCCAGGAGUUGGAAACCAGCCGGGGCAACAUGGCAAAACCCCAUCUCUACAAAAACUACAAAAAUUAGCCAGGUGUGGUGGGACAUACCUGUGGUCCCAGCUACUUGGGAGACUGAGGUGGGAGGAUCGUUUAAGCCUGGGAGGCAGAGGUUGCAAUGAGCCAAGAUUGUGCCACUGCACUCUUGGGUGGGAAACAGAGCAAGACUGUUUCAAAAGAAAAGAAAAGAAGAGAAGAGAAAAAGAAAAGAAAGAAAAGAAAAGAAAAAGAUGUUAAAGCUGUUGCCAGUGAGGGCUCAGAAGGAAUAGUGGACCAUGAUGGAGAAAGUCCAUAUCAUCUUAAGAGAGUAUCUAAAUCAUCAAAAACUCUCUGAUGAUAGAAAUACGAAUACUAACGAUUCUGCCAAUGAAGGCUCAGAAGGAAAUAAAAACACGUUUUUGGAAAGUAGAGGAAAGGGGAUACUUGUUAUAUAGUGUAAGAAAGCCUAGCUGAAUUCUGUCCUGCAAUUAUGUGGAAGCCAGGACUUGCAAAUGAUGAAUUUCUAUAUUUUAGCUGAGAAGAUGUCCAAGCAAAGUGUUGAAAGUGUAGCCUGGCUUCUUUUUGCUGCUUAAAGUAAAAUGUGAGAGGAAAGAAAAAAAUUCAGAGAAGAACUAUUAAACAAAAAGGAACCAGGACUUGAAGAUUUGAGAUAUUAUCAGAUUAUUCGGAUUGCAAAUGAUGCUAACAUUAGUAGAUUCACUGUCAGCAAAGCGUGCUCUGGAGAGAAAGCCAAGGGUAUGACUGGAAAGCACCUUACUAGUGCCUCAGAAAGACCCAAAGGUCACAGUAUUGAGUCACAUACAGGGCUUUUGGAGGGAUUAAACAUGUGACUUGUUGAUUCCCUCAGCCAUCUCAGCAGAAGACAGGAAUAGAGAUGAGACGAUCCAGGAAAGAUCUGUAGAGGAGCCUCUUGUCUAAUGAAGUGAAUCUCUGUGACAUGAAUGGGAAAUCCACAAGGUUUCUGAGACUGUUAUACCAGCAGAAACACUGUCACCUUGGACUAAGAGGGACAGAGAGAUGACAAACUGAAAAAGGCUAUCUGUCUCUCAGAAUUCUACAGGCAGGAAAUAGGCUGAUGGUAGUACUCAGCUGAAAACAUGCUAUCAUUUUUUUAAAUAAAAAAAGUAAAGAAAAGAAAAGAAAUAUAGCUAGGUGCAGUGGCUCAUGCCUGUAAUCCCAACACUUUGCUAGGCCAACUCAGGAGGAUUGCCUGAGCCCAGGAGUUAGACCAGCCUGGGCAACAUGGCAAGAUCCCAUCUCUACUAAAAAAAAAAAGGAAGAUGGCUCAGAAAGCUAAGCCAAGUGCCCAAAUGGCAGCAGCAACAGGAAACUAGUACACCUUCCAGACUUCCAAACGAAUACACUUUCACUUGUCCAUUUUCUGAUCACCACAUUAAAUUAUCUGUUGCUGACCGAGGAUAUGUAAACUCAGCAGGUGCAAGGUGACCACAUUAAACUAUAUGUGUAGAUCUAAGUAGUUGUAACUGGUAUGGAGAAGCCUGGAGAGAGAGAGAGAGAGAGAGAGAGAGAGAGAGAGAGAGAGGUUGGGGGAGAGGGAAGACCAGGGAAUACAGAAGAGAUGCUCAGUGCAUGGGGUCCUGACAACCUCCCCUUCUCUGCUACAGGGGACUCAAGAGCCAGCUCUCCUUCUUGUCCUUGGGACCAGCAUACACACUGUCCUUCUCAGUAGCCAAGAAGUUUGCUUCCUUCUCGUCCAGAGUUCUCUUCUAGGGUUUUUGAGAAAAAAGGUUUUGCAACAGGUGUUCUGGAUCUACUAAGUCUGGAACUAUGUAUCCAGGUCUAAAGUCCACCAGGUCAGGGAGCAGGCCUGUCUCGUCUUCUAGUCUUCUACUGUAUCUCAAUACAAUGCCUGGGACAGGAGAAACACCCAAUACGUAUGGGCAGAAUAAAUAAAUGACACAGUUCUGGGGUGGCAGCAGAUCAAUUUCCUGGUCUGUGUCUCUUCAAUGGACAAGUCGAUACAUCUCUGCUGCUCCACGUGUAGUCCAUGGACCAGGCCCCUUCUCAUCACCUGGGAGCUCAUGAGCAACGCAGCAUCUCAGUAUCCCACCCCAGACAUCUGCAUGGACUGAAUCCAGUUCACCACUUGCUUGAGGGUAAUUGCACAUAAGUCUCCAAGUCUCAGUUUCCUCAGCUGAAAAAUAAAAGGUAAUAAAGCCCUU
rnacentral:lncRNA from 1 species